rnacentral:rRNA from 1 species
UUGAUCCUGGCUCAGGAUUAACGCUGGCGGCAUGCCUAAUACAUGCAAGUCGAUCGGGUGCAGCAAUGCAUCAGAGGCGAACGGGUGAGUAACACGUAUCCAAUUUACCCCAUAGCGAGGGAUAACUAGUCGAAAGAUUAGCUAAUACCGCAUAACGAUUAAAAUAUCGCAUGAGAAUUAAUUUAAAGAUCCGUUUGGAUUACUAUGGGAUAAGGGUGCGGCAUAUCAGCUAGUUGGUGAGGUAACGGCCCACCAAGGCAAUGACGUGUAGUUAUGCUGAGAGGUAGAAUAACCACAAUGGAACUGAGACACGGUCCAUACUCCUACGGGAGGCAGCAGUAGGGAAUUUUUCACAAUGGACGAAAGUCUGAUGGAGCAAUGCCGCGUGAACGAUGAAGGUCUUUGUAGAUUGUAAAGUUCUUUUAUUUAGGAAGAAAAGCUAGUAAAGGAAAUGUUAUUAGUUUGACCGUACUAUUUGAAUAAGUAACGACUAACUAUGUGCCAGCAGUCGCGGUAAUACAUAGGUUGCAAGCGUUAUCCGGAUUUAUUGGGCGUAAAACAAGCGCAGGCGGAUUAGAAAGUCUGGUGUUAAAAUCAACUGCUUAACGGUUGAAUGCAUUGGAAACUUCUAGUCUAGAGUGUGGUAGAGAGUUCUGGAACUCCAUGUGGAGCGGUGGAAUGCGUAGAUAUAUGGAAGAACACCAGCUGCGAAGGCGAGAACUUAGGCCAUUACUGACGCUUAGGCUUGAAAGUGUGGGGAGCAAAUAGGAUUAGAUACCCUAGUAGUCCACACCGUAAACGAUGGAUGUUAAACGUCGGGGCGAUCACCUCGGUGUUGCAGUUAACACAUUAAACAUCCUGCCUGGGUAGUACAUUCGCAAGAAUGAAACUCAAACGGAAUUGACGGGGACCCGCACAAGUGGUGGAGCAUGUUGCUUAAUUCGACGGUACACGAAAAACCUUACCUAGACUUGACAUCCUUGGCAAAACUAUAGAAAUAUAGUCGAGGUUAACCGAGAGACAGGUGGUGCAUGGUUGUCGUCAGCUCGUGUCGUGAGAUGUUGGGUUAAGUCCCGCAACGAGCGCAACCCUUAUCGUUAGUUACUUUGUCUAACGAGACUGCCAACGCAAGUUGGAGGAAGGUGGGGAUGACGUCAAAUCAUCAUGCCCCUUAUGUCUAGGGCUGCAAACGUGCUACAAUGGCCAAUACAAACAGUUACCAAACCGUAAGGUGGAGUUAAUCUGCAAAGUUGGUCUCAGUUCGGAUUGAGGGCUGCAAUUCGCCCUCAUGAAGUCGGAAUCACUAGUAAUCGCGAAUCAGCUAUGUCGCGGUGAAUACGUUCUCGGGUCUUGUACACACCGCCCGUCAAACUACGAGAGUUGAUAGUGUCUAAAACCGUGUUGCUAACCGCAAGGAAGCGCAUGUCUAGGACAAGAUUAAUGAUUGGAGUUAAGUCGUAACAAGGUACCCCUACGAGAACGUGGGGGUGGAUCACCUCCUUU